CAGAAACUCAUGUUCACUAUACACAGCUGAAGGAGGAGGUGGGCUUCUUAUACACAGCUGCAGGAGGAGGUGGGCUUCUUAUACAGCUGCAGGAGGAGGUGGGCUUCUUAUACACAGCUGCAGGAGGAGGUGGGCUUCUUAUAUACAGCUGCAGGAGGAGGUGGGCUUCUUAUAUACAGCUGCAGGAGGAGGUGGGCUUCUUAUAUACAGCUGCAGGAGGAGGUGGGCUUCUUAUAUACAGCUGCAGGAGGAGGUGGGCUUCUUAUACACAGCUGCAGGAGGAGGUGGGCUUCUUAUACAGCUGCAGGAGGAGGUGGGCUUCUUAUACACAGCUGCAGGAGGAGGUGGGCUUCUUAUACACAGCUGCAGGAGGAGGUGGGCUUCUUAUACACAGCUGCAGGAGGAGGUGGGCUUCUUAUACACAGCUGCAGGAGGAGGUGGGCUUCUUAUACAGCUGCAGGAGGAGGUGGGCUUCUUAUACACAGCUGCAGGAGGAGGUGGGCUUCUUAUAUACAGCUGCAGGAGGAGGUGGGCUUCUUAUAUACAGCUGCAGGAGGAGGUGGGCUUCUUAUAUACAGCUGCAGGAGGAGGUGGGCUUCUUAUACACAGCUGGUUUGCUACUGAGC